ensembl:snoRNA
GCAUGGUAGUGGAUUUAUGAUGGGUCCUUCUGCGUGGGCCUCUCAUAGUGUAACCAUGCGAGAGCAAGGUGCAGCCUCGAACCAUUGCCCAGCCUCGCUGCUGUGGGCUGCGAGCACUGAAGGAGGUCGCACAGAU